rnacentral:rRNA from 1 species
AUUCCCAUUCCACCACGAUCCCCAACCCCAACCCCCGUUCUCUUCUCCCUUCCCCACGUUCCUCACGGCGCUAGCAGAGGUGAGAGGCGCUCGUGGCAGAGUACGGGGAGGUGCACCACGGAUUGCUGCUCGCCAUCCUGCCGCAGCGGAGAUGCUCGCUCCUCAUUGCGACCGCGUUGGUUGUGAUGUGGCCGGCCCAGGCAUCCACCCCUGUGGAUUUCCCCUCCGCUGUCGUUCGCGGGCGAUGGAUCGGUCGCUCUCCACCGUCGACUUGUCCUCCGCACUCUCGCUCAUCCACAUCGUCUUCGCCUCUACGGGAUCACGGGAUCAACACACCUCUGGCCCCGCUGUGAGUGAGGAGCCGCCCAUCCCUCUGUAAUCUGAGAUGUCGCCCCACCAUUCCUGUUCCGCCAACAACAACAUCUCCCCUGACCGCUUGUCGUGCCUUGCCUCCAAAUCGGAUCACUGCAGUCUGAAGAUAAGCUUCAUCGUUGAUUCUUUUUUCUUUAUGUUUCUUAUGUUAUUUGUCACUUCACCGUGAACGUCAUGAGAUGUCUUGUUGGUUCAAUGAUGAACUGAAUAGAUCGUGUCACCUUGAUCAUGUCGUUGUAUGAAGAAUAUGGGAGUGCCAACCAUUGGCGACUCAUUCUAUAAUCUGUACUAUCAUGUUCAGUUAGUUUCUGGACAGAUGAGUAUAUGUUUAGUUUAUAUUGUGCCAUUGGUCCAAGAAUUGCUCUUGUAUAGAAGUGUAGCAAUGGAUGGUCCAAAAGCAAAUCAUAUUCUAAUUGCUGCAGAGUUUAAAAACCAACUGGAAUACAUUUCCAUUUGCUUUCUGCUGAAGCUUGAAUGAUCUUCUUUUUUCAGUAUUUUGAUGCAGUCAUAUCUCAACCACAUGAUGGCACACUAUAUAAGACCUCUAACCUGACGUGGAAGGACGAACUUCGACCAUGGAGCAGAGCACAGCGACGGUGGUCGUUGUCAUGGAUUGAUGGUCAAUGAUAAAGAGCAGGGGCCCUCAGAUGCUAGCCCUCCUCCCGCUGCUAUCCUCCCCAUCACCUACGAGAUGUAUAUGAUGCUGACUUUCAGAGGCUGAACAAUUAGGUUGAUAUUGAAGGAGUAAUAAAGGAUCAACGGGCCAAGAUGUUUUGAGAUCAAACGGUGAGGUGCUAGGGACAGUCCUCCAGAGCAAAAGCAUUCAGUUUCAAGGACAUCAUAAGAUGCUAAAAAGUCCAAUUCAAGUAAUUUCAUCAUAAAACAGGGCUACAAGUAACAACUGGAGAAGAAGGGGGCCAAAAAUCCAAAAAGGCAUUGGGCGUGCAGCCACUCCGCCGACAUGACAGUCUUAGUACGCGGCACUGCGUAAACACGCAUUGCGGCGGCGACCACUGACACUGACAACAACGUGGCUUUUCAGCGAGCGGCGACCCUGACGGUGGCAGCACCCAUCACAUAAGGCAACGCUCCGACCAUACCCGAUGGUGUUCCCUGAGCCAUGGUGUGUGCCUUCUCCUCCCCUAGAUCAUCUCACCAAUUACUUGCACGCUAGAGGUAGGCUAGACCAUACUGAAAACGAUCUUCCAUUUUCACAAUUAUUUAUUUCUCUCUUUUUGUGCAUCUCCGAUCCCUGUUCAUACUUUAUUACUACAGGAAUGUAUAUCAUAGAUUAUCUAGAAACGAUACUGCUUACUUCUGAUGCUCCAUCAUCCUGUCAGGCUUCAUUUAAUCCUAAAGGCUCCUUUGGUUAGUAAUUCAUCUACUCUUCAUCAUUGCCUGCAAUUUUCAUCAUUGACUGUAGUUUUGUAAAUUAAUUCAUCCUUGGUAAGUUUUGACUGUCUAUUCUUUGCUCAUUGGCUCUGUAUGGCGAUUGUCACAUGUUUAAUUUGACUGCACAUUGGACAUGUAAUUAUACAUUUCGAGGUAUAACGCUGGUGUUUGUUUCUACAUUUGAAUAUUUCUCUUGUGGGGUAGAAACCAUAUUCUAUUCCCCCUGUUGGGCCAACUUGCUUGUAGAAUCACAAUGGGAGAAUUAUUGAUUUGUUAAUCCCUUCCUUCAACAUGUUAGAACUUGCAUUUUCCUGCUUAAAGUAUUACGUUAAUACACUACAUAAUCACUGGUGCCUGCAGAGCUGGCGCAAUAUAACAAAUUAGGCUGGGUCUGAAAGAUGCAGCCAUGUUGGCCUCGCCAAUGAGUGAAUGUUGGAAGAUGCAACAUUAGGAAAUGCCGAGUAUAUAUGGCAACAUCCAUGGUUCUGUCUCCUAUCUCAUAUAAGGCCUAAUUAAGUCUCCUUGUUCUUGUUACAAGUCAUUUAGCACUGAUGUGAUUAGUGAUGUUCCACUGACCUGGAGGUGUGUUAUCACAUACCAAGCAAUUAAUCAUUACCUAAAGUCAUGUUCAUUGCCUCGAUAUCAUUCCCUAUGUCUUUCUUGAAUUCUUUGCUGAAGACAAUUUCCGUGAGAUUAAUUUCCUUUUUGUUCACUUCAGUUUUUAUUUGUUCUAUAGUUCACACCUGGUCCCUUCAGUGUAACUUAUUGAAUAACAAAGUUUUGUCUUUUAUUCAUUGCAUGUGGUACCUAUAGUCAAGGAAAAACAUCUACCUAUAUUGCUGACAUAGUUGCAAGAUUUAUAUGUAUUGAGCAAGAACUCAUUAGAUCGAGAUAAGUCCAACAAGGAGAUCUCUCUUGCCUCUUAUGAAGUGUGUCAGAUUUAGAAAGAAAGAAGUGGAGAUUUCUUUUAGGCCAAAGAGAUGGGUCCGAAAGAGUUAGUUUCUGAAGUUAUUUAGAAUGUUAACCUCCCGUUGGAGGCAUUUGGCACUUAGCCUUUGUUGCUGUACAGCCGAGCUAACUUAUUGACAUCCUCCAAAUUUCCUUUCUACUUUUUAAAUCUUGUUAUGUUGUCUCUUGGGUAGGCUUCAACCUGUUUCCUGUAAAACAAAUAAGAUUGCAAAAGUAUAUUAUUAGCAUGUAUCGAUUGUAGUGCAUAACACAUCAGAUUGUACACAAUGAUGUCCCUUUGUAUGGAA